CUAGAAAGAGAAACUUGCAGCGGAACACAGUUCAUACUGGAAAGGCAGACCACAGGACUCAUCCUUUCCCCUUAGUUACCAGUUUGCAAAACAAUAAGUUGGUUCUUUAGGACUCAGAGGAUUGCUGAAGGCCGAGUUCUAAUGGAAGAACUGUUGGACUUUCCAGAAUCCUCUGGGAGCUUGGAGGAGUGAUGCCUGGCUGAAAAUACCUCGGCUUGUUAAGAGUGAAUUAUUUCUCUCUGGAGGACUGAGGAAUGACAACGGAUAGCAAGCAAGGAUAAGAACCAGAGACCCAGCAUGGCAUUGCUUUGCUGCUUUUCCUCCAUAGACAUAAUCAUUGCACAAUUUCCCCUGGGCGCUACAUGAGCAAGAGUUCAUUGAAGGUACUUCAAGAAGAAAGGGAUUUAAUACGAGGAAUUCAGUGCUUACAAAACCUCUGGCAGGGCUGGAAGAGGGACAAAGGACUGCCCCAGCAGUUACAGAAUUCAAGGGCAGCCACCAUGGCAGUGAACCAGAGUG